AUUGAACGCUGGCGGCAUGCUUUACACAUGCAAGUCGAACGGCAGCGCGGGCUUCGGCCUGGCGGCGAGUCGCGAACGGGUGAGUAAUGCAUCGGAACGUGCCCAGUAGUGGGGGAUAGCCCGGCGAAAGCCGGAUUAAUACCGCAUACGACCUGAGGGUGAAAGCGGGGGACCGAAAGGCCUCGCGCUAUUGGAGCGGCCGAUGUCGGAUUAGCUAGUUGGUGGGGUAAAGGCUUACCAAGGCGACGAUCCGUAGCUGGUCUGAGAGGACGACCAGCCACACUGGGACUGAGACACGGCCCAGACUCCUACGGGAGGCAGCAGUGGGGAAUUUUGGACAAUGGGGGCAACCCUGAUCCAGCCAUGCCGCGUGCGGGAAGAAGGCCUUCGGGUUGUAAACCGCUUUUGUUCGGGAAGAAAUCCUCUGGGCUAAUACCCCGGGGGGAUGACGGUACCGGAAGAAUAAGCACCGGCUAACUACGUG
rnacentral:rRNA from 1 species